rnacentral:rRNA from 1 species
GAUGAACGCUGGCGGCGUGCCUAAUACAUGCAAGUCGAGCGAACGGACGAGAAGCUUGCUUCUCUGAUGUUAGCGGCGGACGGGUGAGUAACACGUGGAUAACCUACCUAUAAGACUGGGAUAACUUCGGGAAACCGGAGCUAAUACCGGAUGAUAUUUUGAACCGCAUGGUUCAAAAGUGAAAGACGGUCUUGCUGUCACUUAUAGAUGGAUCCGCGCUGCAUUAGCUAGUUGGUAAGGUAACGGCUUACCAAGGCAACGAUGCAUAGCCGACCUGAGAGGGUGAUCGGCCACACUGGAACUGAGACACGGUCCAGACUCCUACGGGAGGCAGCAGUAGGGAAUCUUGCGAAAUGGGCGAAAGCCUGACGGAGCAACGCCGCGUGAGUGAUGAAGGUCUUCGGAUCGUAAAACUCUGUUAUUAGGGAAGAACAUAUGUGUAAGUAACUGUGCACAUCUUGACGGUACCUAAUCAGAAAGCCACGGCUAACUACGUG